rnacentral:rRNA from 1 species
AUACGGGGGGUGCAAGCGUUAAUCGGAAUUACAGGGCGUAAAGCGCGCGUAGGCGGUUUGCUCAGUCGGAUGUGAAAGCCCAGGGCUCAACCUUGGAACUGCAUACGAUACUGGCAAACUAGAGUGUGAGAGAGGAUAGUGGAAUUUCCGGUGUAGCGGUGAAAUGCGUAGAUAUCGGAAGGAACAUCAGUGGCGAAGGCGACUGUCUGGCUCAACACUGACGCUGAGGUGCGAAAGCGUGGGUAGCAAACAGGAUUAGAUACCCUAGUAGUCC